rnacentral:snRNA from 1 species
GUGCUCGCUUCAGCAGCACAUAUACUAAAAUUGGAACGAUACAAAGAAGAUUAGCAUGGCCCCUGCACAAGGAUGACACGCAAAUUCGUGAAGUGUUCCAUAUUUUU